rnacentral:rRNA from 1 species
GAUGAACGCUGGCGGCGUGCCUAAUACAUGCCAGUCGAGCGAACAGACGAGUAGCUUGCUCCUCUGACGUUAGCGGCGGACGGGUGAGUAACACGUGGAUAACCUACCUAUAAGACUGGGAUAACUUCGGGAAACCGGAGCUAAUACCGGAUAAUAUAUUGAACCGCAUGGUUCAAUAGUGAAAGACGGUUUUGCUGUCACUUAUAGAUGGAUCCGCGCCGCAUUAGCUAGUUGGUAAGGUAACGGCUUACCAAGGCAACGAUGCGUAGCCGACCUGAGAGGGUGAUCGGCCACACUGGAACUGAGACACGGUCCAGACUCCUACGGGAGGCAGCAGUAGGGAAUCUUCCGCAAUGGGCGAAAGCCUGACGGAGCAACGCCGCGUGAGUGAUGAAGGUCUUCGGAUCGUAAAACUCUGUUAUUAGGGAAGAACAAAUGUGUAAGUAACUAUGCACGUCUUGACGGUACCUAAUCAGAAAGCCACGGCUAACUACGUG